ACUGUGGCUGGAAAAGCUGGAAUUGGAAAAGCUGCCGAAGGAGGAGGAGGGUUCAAGCUUUGCUGACCUGAGCGCACAGCUCUGAUGCAGGGACCGGUGACCAGCCCAAGAGGAGAACGCUUCUCUGUGGUGGGCGGGUUUAUGAGGAAGCUUCCAACCUUUCUUCUCCAGCUUUUCUGCCUCCCAGUCCACCUCUGGUUCAUUAUCUUUCACCCUGACUAAAACUUCUGCCCUGAAAAAAAGAACUCCAUCAUAGAGACUGAAGCUAAUAUGAUAAACCAAUAAAUGACUGGGACCAAGUGCCAAGGACAUCGCAUAGGCCUGGCGACAUGGACCAAGCUGCUGGUUAAAGGUCCCAAUGUGGGCAGAAUGGAAAUUUUAGAAUCUCAUUUAUUGAACCCAGCAAUACAUUUCUUUCUGAAGGAGAGAAGCAAGGCGGCACUAUAGAAGAAUUUACCAUUCAAAGACUUUCAGAAGCAUUCAUGCACAUGAAGUUGGCAAUCAAUAAUUAGAAGAACUGGCCUUAGCCCCAUUUGAAGCAAUUGCUGGUACUUGAAAACUCAAAGAAGAAUACGCCAGUUUCCUCUCCAUGACACACUGGAUAAAGAGAAAAUAGCCUGAAGCCAACACAUUAUGUAAGAGUCAA